rnacentral:rRNA from 1 species
AAGGGGUGGAUCGUUAAAUGCAUGAGGCGGUACCGGGGUCGGCACUACCGAAGAAGGCGGUGGUGGCAGCGCGGGAAGGUCCCCGAGUUCAGCUGGCGCCCGGAGGGGCAGUCGGCGGCGAGGCCGUCGCGGCCGGAGUCGUCGCAGUCGUUACCGCCUUCCUAGUCUACGUACGUCCACACCGGCUAACUCCCGUAGUUCUUCAAGCUCUGGGACAGAAUGAACGGUGGGGAGAGGUGCCUCCGGGAGGAAUUCGUCCAGCUGAUGGACUAGGCGAGGUUCACCCACGGGACGGAGCUCAAAUCGUUCCAACCGAAGCAGAAGGCACUCGUGUUGUCGAGGGGGCCCAUGAUGCUGCCAGCUAUGACCUGUUACACCUUCGACGGAUACAAGCCCACGUGACUGCGGUGCGUCCACGAGUUACUCCACCUCCUCCAGUUCUUCCUCAUGGGACUGCGGAUACAGGCGCAGUAACCGAAGCUGUUGUACGCGGUCCACGUCACGCAGUCGAAGUAACGGAAGUCCGGUGGUCCGACGCUCCUUAGGCCGUUCCGGAUUUCACGUUCAGGCUAUAUGUACGGUACAAUCAAGUGUAAACAGUCGUCGAGACGAAAGAGCCAAAAUAAAGACCAAGAUGAGUAUACACUUAUAUACUCGUAUACAUUCGUGGAUGGUUGCAUCCGGCUCCUCCUACGUACAGUCUUAAUAUCGUGGCCGAUGUGUAUGUGUAUAUAUAAUAUACGUUAGGCGCCUAAUAACAGAACGGUAGUUAACUACCUUUUCUUUGAAACAAACGUUGACCUUUACGGAUACGGAACG